UACGUAGGGUGCAAGCGUUAACCGGAAUUACUGGGCGUAAAGCGUGCGCAGGCGGUUUUGUAAGUCUGUCGUGAAAUCCCCGGGCUCAACCUGGGAACUGCAUUUGUGACUGCAUCGCUGGAGUGCGGCAGAGGGGGAUGGAAUUCCGCGUGUAGCAGUGAAAUGCGUAGAUAUGCGGAGGAACACCGAUGGCGAAGGCAAUCCCCUGGGCCUGCACUGACGCUCAUGCACGAAAGCGUGGGGAGCAAACAGG
rnacentral:rRNA from 1 species